rnacentral:rRNA from 1 species
GUACGGGAGGCAGCAGUGGGGAAUAUUGCACAAUGGGGGAAACCCUGAUGCAGCAACGCCGCGUGAGCGAUGAAGGCCUUCGGGUUGUAAAGCUCUGUCUUCGCUGACGAUAAUGACGGUAAGCGAGGAGGAAGCCACGGCUAACUACGUGCCAGCAGCCGCGGUAAUACGUAGGUGGCAAGCGUUGUCCGGAAUUACUGGGCGUAAAGGGUGCGUAGGCGGUUCAUUAAGUGGGAUGUGAAAUACCCGGGCUCAACUCGGGAACUGCAUUCCAAACUGGUGAGCUAGAGUGCAGGAGAGGAAAGUGGAAUUCCCAGUGUAGCGGUGAAAUGCGUAGAGAUUGGGAGGAACACCAGUGGCGAAGGCGACUUUCUGGACUGUAACUGACGCUGAGGCACGAAAGUGUGGGGAGCAAACAGGAUUAGAUACCCUGGUAGA